ensembl:lncRNA
UCUAGGCAAAAGCAUUCCUCCUGAAACAGAGCUAACGCGGGUUUGGAGGGUAUUUAUCUCAUACUGUGUGACAGCUUAUUUAAUGUAAAAAUAUAUUUUUUAUUUAAUGUAUAAGCAGGGGAGUCAAAUUAUUAUUAAGCAUUAUUUAUUUAUGUUCAUUUUUAUUAGAACAUUCCCAGACGCAUGAACUAUAUCAUGAAAUAUCUCGAUUCUCACCUUCAUAGAUUGUUAGAUAAUAUGCGAUGGUCAAAGUAGCCUUAUAAUGUAAUCUAUUAACAGUGUUGGGGAGUAACUAGUUACAUGUAACGGCGUUACGUAAUUUAAUUACAAAAUAAAUGUAACUGUAAUCAGUUACAGUUACUAAGAAAAAAUUAGUAAUUAAAUUACAGUUAUUUAUGAAAAUGUUAACAAUUACAAAGGGGAUUACAUUUGAAUAUUCACACACAUCCACAUACAGAUUUAAUUGAUUUCUUUCCCAAAUUGCAAUGACUACUCUAAAACAUACGGCCCUAUAAUUUCUGCGAUGUGGAAAACACAGUCUGGUUCGUAGAAUCCCCGGUGGCCUGGCAGACGAUUUGGCCCGCUAUUUUAAUAUUAUUAUUGUAUAAUUGCAUGCCGAGUGUACUAAAGCGAUUAUUUCCGAAUCCGCCAUUCGAUAAUUAAAUCUCUAAUAAAUCAUGAAUGGGUUAAUAGUCGUGACUGCAAUGCCUCGGCUCGCGCGCUCUCCGCGCCUCCAGCAAACGGUUAGGAUCAGAGUAAUCAAUGCGAGAGAGAGAAUGAGUGGACUGUGGAAGCGCACAGGUGGAGCAGAGAAGCAAAACUACUGUUCAGGGUUUCAAGUGCAGCACUGAGAGCAUGAAAGCCGCAUGUCACAGACCAACACCACCUCCAUUUACCGUUCCACAGCAGAUCUCUGGCUUCUGAAGAUCUCUCUGAGGAACAGCAGCGCACGUGAGACAGAAACUUGACUUUUCCUCCUCUCUGCAGCCGGUAGUGGCAGCUUUGAUAUCCCCUCAGUGUGUGUCGAGGUGGUCAGCCUCUCAUUCACUUUGACCUUUCUUUGAUUCAGCUCGCCCUUGUGUCUCACAGCUCCGGCAGACUUGCCUCCGAAACAAAAGGGCAAGUGGAGGCCUGACACUAAGUCAAUAGGGAAGGCACAGCAGUAUUUGAGGGUAUUGUCAGGUGACCUCUUUGUUUACACUUUGAAUGAAGGUGGCCGUAAAAGUGUGAGGAUGGAGAGGCUUUGGGCUUUGCUGUGGUUGGUUUGGUUCUCUGGAGA